AGAGUUAAACAGUACGUGAAAUUGUUGAAAGGGAAACGCUUGAAGCCAAGCGGGCCGUCUACGUUAAGCUAGCCUCGGCUGGUGUAUUUUAGACGGCUGGCCAACAUCAGUUUGGCUGGCUGGAAAAAGGGCGUGGAAAGGUAGGUGUGCUUCGGCGCACUGUUUAUAGUCCACGUUCAAUACAGCCGGCUGGAUUGAGGACUGCAGCGCGACCCUUUUGGGCAGCAUGCCUGGUUGCUGCGACGCAGGAUUUUGUAGACAGCAUGCUGACUGCAAAAUGCUAACGAAGCACUCAGCUAGAGCAUGACACCCGCGCUUUGGAUGUUGGUGAAAGGGCUUUAAACGACC
rnacentral:rRNA from 1 species